rnacentral:rRNA from 1 species
CAAGAACAUCGGGCGUAACAGAGAGUUCGAUCAUGGCUCAGAUUGAACGCUGGCGGGAUGCUUUACACAUGCAAGUCGAACGGCAGCACGGACUUCGGUCUGGUGAGUGGCGAACGGGUGAGUAAUGUAUCGGAACGUGCGCCUAAUAGCGGGGGAUAACUACGCGAAAGCGUAGCUAGCUGCACAUACGCCCUUCGAGAAAGCAGGGGACCUUCGGGCCUCGCACUAUUAGAGCGGCCGAUAUCGGAUUAGCUAGUUGGUGGGGUAACGGCUCGCCAGGCGACGAUCCGUAGCUGGUUUGAGAGGACGACCAGCCACACUGGGACUGAGACACGGCCCAGACUCCUACGGGAGGCAGCAGUGGGGAAUUUUUGGACAAUGGGGGAAACCCUGAUCAGCCAUCCCGCGUGUGCGAUGAAGGCCUUCGGGUUGUAAAGCACUUUUGGCAGAAAGAAACGGCACGGGAUAAUACCCCGUGCAACUGACGGUACCUGCAGAAUAAGCACCGGCUAACUACGUGCCAGCAGCCGCGGUAAUACGUAGGGUGCAAGCGUUAAUCGGAAUUACUGGGCGUAAAGCGUGCGCAGGCGGUUCGGAAAAGAAAGAUGUGAAAUCCAGAGCUUAACUUUGGAACUGCAUUUUUAACUACCGAGCUAGAGUAUUAUUAGAGGGAGGUGGAAUUCCGCGUGUAGCAGUGAAAUGCGUAGAUAUGCGGAGAGGAACACCGAUGGCGAAGGCAGCCUCUGGGAUAACACUGACGCUCAUGCACAGCGUGGGAGCAAACAGGAUUAGAUACCCUGGUAGUCCACGCCCUAAACGAUGUCAACUAGCUGUUGGGGCCUUCGGGCCUUGGUAGCGCAGCUAACGCGUGAAGUUGACCGCCUGGGGGAGUACGGUCGCCCCAAGAUUAAAACUCAAAAUUUGACAGGGACCCGCACAAGCGGUGGAUGAUGUGGAUUAAUUCGAUGCAACGCGAAAACCUUACCUACCCUUGACAUGUCUGGAAUCGAAGAAGAGAUUUGGGAGUGCUCGCAAAGAGAACCGGAACACAGGUGCUGCAUGGCUGUCGUCAGCUCGUGUCGUGAGAUGUUGGGUUAAGUCCCGCAACGAGCGCAACCCUUGUCAUUAGUUGCUACGAAAGGGCACUCUAAUGAGACUGCCGGUGACAAACCGGAGGAAGGUGGGGAUGACGUCAAGUCCUCAUGGCCCUUAUGGGUAGGGCUUCACACGUCAUGCAAUGGUCGGGACAGAGGGUCGCCAACCCGCGAGGGGGAGCCAAUCCCAGAAACCCGAUCGUAGUCCGGAUCGCAGUCUGCAACUCGACUGCGUGAAGUCGGAAUCGCUAGUAAUCGCGGAUCAGCAUGUCGCGGUGAAUACGUUCCCGGGUCUUGUACACACCGCCCGUCACACCAUGGGAGUGGGUUUUACCAAGAAGUAGUUAGCCUAACCGUAAGGAGGGCGAUUACCACGGUAGGAUUCAUGACUGGGGUGAAGUCGUAACAAAGGUAG